CUCUGCCUGGAGAGCUCCUUCCCUGCGAGGUUUUAUUUAUUUCUCUUCUUCCUGCCUGCACUUCAGAUGUUUGAAUGGGCACGAGGCAAAUGCUUUUUAUUCCUCUGCUGUUCCAAGGAGUGAUCCUGCAAUCCUGCAGCUUUUUUUUUGAGCAGAGAGGGCUUUAAUUAAACUCUUCAGGGGGAAUUUGCUUGAUUGUAUCACAAUGGCAGAAGUGAAGAGGAAGAUGUGCUGAGGAUAAUGAGUGCUGAGACAGUGGAAAUGGGAGGUUUGCAGUGGAAAAGGAGGAGCUCCCAGAGCAGCAGCAGGAGAUUCAAACCCUCCAGAUUCAGCCUUAAAUCAGGCAAACAAUCCCCUGCAGGGACCUGACCUGGCUCAGGAACAAAACUCUUCC
rnacentral:lncRNA from 1 species